UACGGAGGGUGCAAGCGUUAUCCGGAUUCACUGGGUUUAAAGGGUGCGUAGGAGGGCAGGUAAGUCAGUGGUGAAAUCUCCAAGCUUAACUUGGAAACUGCCGUUGAUACUAUCUGUCUUUAAUACCGUUGAGGUGAGCGGAAUAUGUCAUGUAGCGGUGAAAUGCUUAGAUAUGACAUAGAACACCAAUUGCGAAGGCAGCUCGCUACACGAAUAUUGACUCUGAGGCACGAAAGCGUGGGGAUCAAACAGG
rnacentral:rRNA from 1 species